rnacentral:rRNA from 1 species
GACGAACGCUGGCGGCGUGCUUAACACAUGCAAGUCGAACGGAAAGGCCCUGCUUUUGUGGGGUGCUCGAGUGGCGAACGGGUGAGUAACACGUGAGUAACCUGCCCUUGACUUUGGGAUAACUUCAGGAAACUGGGGCUAAUACCGGAUAGGAGCUCCUGCUGCAUGGUGGGGGUUGGAAAGUUUCGGCGGUUGGGGAUGGACUCGCGGCUUAUCAGCUUGUUGGUGGGGUAGUGGCUUACCAAGGCUUUGACGGGUAGCCGGCCUGAGAGGGUGACCGGCCACAUUGGGACUGAGAUACGGCCCAGACUCCUACGGGAGGCAGCAGUGGGGAAUAUUGCACAAUGGGCGGAAGCCUGAUGCAGCAACGCCGCGUGCGGGAUGACGGCCUCGGGUUGUAAACCGCUUUCGCCUGUGACGAAGCGUGAGUGACGGUAAUGGGUAAAGAAGCACCGGCUAACUACGUGC